ACAGAGUAACGCCUUAAGCAAGAUGACAUGAUGUAGAGGGAUAAUCUCAAACCAAUGAUAAAAACCCCAUCUUUUUACCCUUGAUGGCAACUACUUGAUGUGUGCCUUGCUGCCCUACUGUCACUGGGAAAGGUCACCACAUGGCAGAACCCAAAACCAAGCACUUCUCCCAUUGCAAGAAUCAUAGAUCUAGUUGGCCAAACAAAACCCAAGACUCGGAGAGACUUACAAGGAUAUCAAAUCAUGCAUAUAAGAAAUCAGCA
rnacentral:lncRNA from 1 species